rnacentral:lncRNA from 1 species
UAAUUAAAUCCAAAGAGGCAUAUAUGAAUCAUUGUUAAUGAUCCAUUGUUCAAUUCUGGUUUCUUAAUAAUUAUUUCCUAUUAGAAAACCUUGAACAAAUAGAACAACAUAAUUUCUUCUAAAUUAAAAUAAUUAUUUCCUAUUAGAAAACCUUGAACAAAUAGAACAACAUAAUUUCUUCUAAAUUAAAGUUCACAUCUUGUACCUAGACAUUUUAUAUGUUGAUCCCUGUCAAUUUACUUUUAGCUUAUAUGCUUUCACACUAAUAAUUCUCCACCAUAUCUUUCAAAUCUCCCUAUUUAUAAGUAAAAUUUAUAGUUAUCAAGGUAACUAAUAACAAUGGAUGGAUUAUAAUUCCUUCUAGGAACAAUAUAAUGCACAAGUUAAAAACCAAUAGGUCAAGGAAAUCAUAAAAAGCAUUUUGAUCCAAUCACAUUGUCAAAAAUGAAAAUACAAAACCAACAAAACCUAAUACAAUAAACAAAAUCUUGUGUUUCAACUCUUCUAGUCAAACAAACUGAAGCCCAUAUCCUGUCAAACAAAGAUGACAAUGAUAUAUUCAUUUGUUAGUAUGGAUUGGAGAAUCCAGCAGACAUCACUGUUUGGAUAUCAUAAAA